rnacentral:rRNA from 1 species
AACAGGAUUAGAUACCCUGGUAGUCCACGCUGUAAACGAUGUCGAUUUGGAGGUUGUGCCUUUGAGGCGUGGCUUCCGGAGCUAACGCGUUAAAUCGACCGCCUGGGGAGUACGGCCGCAAGGUUAAAACUCAAAUGAAUUGACGGGGGCCCGCACAAGCGGUGGAGCAUGUGGUUUAAUUCGAUGCAACGCGAAGAACCUUACCUACUCUUGACAUCCAGAGAACUUUCCAGAGAUGGAUUGGUGCCUUCGGGAACUCUGAGACAGGUGCUGCAUGGCUGUCGUCAGCUCGUGUUGUGAAAUGUUGGGUUAAGUCCCGCAACGAGCGCAACCCUUAUCCUUUGUUGCCAGCGGUUCGGCCGGGAACUCAAAGGAGACUGCCAGUGAUAAACUGGAGGAAGGUGGGGAUGACGUCAAGUCAUCAUGGCCCUUACGAGUAGGGCUACACACGUGCUACAAUGGCAUAUACAAAGAGAAGCGACCUCGCGAGAGCAAGCGGACCUCAUAAAGUAUGUCGUAGUCCGGAUUGGAGUCUGCAACUCGACUCCAUGAAGUCGGAAUCGCUAGUAAUCGUAGAUCAGAAUGCUACGGUGAAUACGUUCCCGGGCCUUGUACACACCGCCCGUCACACCAUGGGAGUGGGUUGCAAAAGAAGUAGGUAGCUUAACCUUCGGGAGGGCGCUUACCACUUUGUGAUUCAUGACUGGGGUGAAGUCGUAACAAGGUAACC